rnacentral:rRNA from 1 species
AUUGAACGCUGGCGGCAUGCUUUACACAUGCAAGUCGAACGGUAACAGGUCUUCGGAUGCUGACGAGUGGCGAACGGGUGAGUAAUGCAUCGAAACGUGCCCAGUCGUGGGGGAUAACGCAGCGAAAGCUGUGCUAAUACCGCAUACGAUCUAUGGAUGAAAGCGGGGGACCGUAAGGCCUCGCGCGAUUGGAGCGGCCGGUGUCAGAUUAGGUAGUUGGUGGGGUAAAGGCCCACCAAGCCAACGAUCUGUAGCUGGUCUCAGAGGACGACCAGCCACACUGGGACUGAGACACGGCCCAGACUCCUACGGGAGGCAGCAGUGGGGAAUUUUGGACAAUGGGCGCAAGCCUGAUCCAGCAAUGCCGCGUGCAGGAAGAAGGCCUUCGGGUUGUAAACUGCUUUUGUACGGAACGAAACGGUCUGGGUUAAUACCCUGGGCUAAUGACGGUACCGUAAGAAUAAGCACCGGCUAACUACGUGCCAGCCGCCGCAGUAA